GUCUACGGCCAUACUACCCUGAACGCGCCCAGUCUCAUCUGAUCUCGGAAGUUAAACAGGGUUGGGCCUGGUUAGUACUUGGAUGGAAGAAAGUGACAACAGAUGUGUCAUAAUUU
ensembl:rRNA 5S_rRNA 5S ribosomal RNA